rnacentral:rRNA from 1 species
GUGGGGAAUAUUGGACAAUGGGCGAAAGCCUGAUCCAGCCAUGCCGCGUGUGUGAAGAAGGUCUUCGGAUUGUAAAGCACUUUAAGCGAGGAGGAGGCUACCGAGAUUAAUACUCUUGGAUAGUGGACGUUACUCGCAGAAUAAGCACCGGCUAACUCUGUGCCAGCAGCCGCGGUAAUACAGAGGGUGCAAGCGUUAAUCGGAUUUACUGGGCGUAAAGCGCGCGUAGGUGGCCAAUUAAGUCAAAUGUGAAAUCCCCGAGCUUAACUUGGGAAUUGCAUUCGAUACUGGUUGGCUAGAGUAUGGGAGAGGAUGGUAGAAUUCCAGGUGUAGCGGUGAAAUGCGUAGAGAUCUGGAGGAAUACCGAUGGCGAAGGCAGCCAUCUGGCCUAAUACUGACACUGAGGUGCGAAAGCAUGGGGAGCAAACAGGAUUAGAAACCCGGGUAGUCC